CAGGUGGGGAACACCUAUGGCUGCACCAGGGUGCAACUACUCAGACUCCAGCGUGCAGAAAGGCCCCGGCUCCAUGCUGUUUCCAUAUCCCAGCCCAAGCUCGUCUAGAGCUUCAGCAAAUCCAAGCUUCCCUGAAUUCCCUGCAAGACUAAACCAAGCCCUACAACCCCCACUACACUGGUUAGCUGCCAGUCCGAGCCCCUGCUGCCUCCUGGGCCCCUGUCUGUACAGUUCUGGAGUCCUACAAGAAUGCUGAGAUCGUAAGCCGACUCUCACCCAAAGAGGUAAACAACCAGGGACCUCCAGGGGUGGAGAACAUACCCAGACAGGUUCUGCUGCCUGUAGGCUUCAUGUCCUUCCCCUACAACACGCCAUGCUUGCCAGGCUGGAAGAGGGGCUCCAGAAACUUGGGAAACCUGGGCCUGUAGCUGGCAUGUGGAAAAGAGGCCUGGAAAAGCACCACUCCUGUCCAUGAAGCCCCCACAUGGAACCAGGUAAUUGGGAAAUACAUGGGCACCAAGCCUGACGCCCUCCUCAGACCCAGGUGGGAACUGCAGCAGUGACUUGCCCCCUCUGCCUCUGGCUGUACCACUAUGAGAGGGAGGAACAUCCAGGUCCACACGUGAGUGGAGACACCAGGUGUGGGCAGGUUCCAGUGAUUGCUGCAGCUGAACCUUCCCAAGCAGGUCCAUGCAAGACCAUCUCA
rnacentral:lncRNA from 1 species